CCUACGGGUGACAGCAGUGAGGAAUAUUGGUCAAUGGCCGGAAGGCUGAACCAGCCAAGUCGCGUGAGGGAAUAAGGCCCUAUGGGUCGUAAACCUCUUUUGUCAGGGAGCAAAGGCGUCCACGUGUGGACGAGAGGAGAGUACCUGAAGAAAAAGCAUCGGCUAACUCCGUGCCAGCAGCCGCGGUAAUACGGAGGAUGCGAGCGUUAUCCGGAUUUAUUGGGUUUAAAGGGUGCGUAGGCGGAGUGUCAAGUCAGCGGUAAAAUUUCGGGGCUCAACCCCGUCGUGCCGUUGAAACUGACGCCCUUGAGUGAGUGAGAAGUAAGCGGAAUGCGUGGUGUAGCGGUGAAAUGCUUAGAUAUUACUCAGAACACCGAUUGCGCAGGCAGCUUGCUAAUCCGCAUCUGACGCUGAUGCACGAAAGCGUGGGUAGCGAACAGGAUUAGAUACCCUAGUAGUC
rnacentral:rRNA from 1 species